UGAACACACCCUGCGCACAUGACUCGUGUCCAGCAGCACCACGCACCGCUGCCUCCAUACGACCUUAUCUUCUUGCCUGGUCGUCUUUCCCGAUCCCCAUUCCAUCGUUCUUCCCCUUGCGCCGUCUGUGCCACCAUUUAUCUCUCAAUCGCCGCUCCUCCUUCAACAACACCAUGCCUAAUAGGCUCGCCUCUCUCGCGGCCCGGCCGCUGGAGCUCGCCAUGCUCUUCUGCGAGAGGGGGAGAUGACAGUGCUGGAAGGCGACAGCCACCAUGGUUGCGGGACGAUGGCAGUUUCCGGCGGCGGCGCUGCGGGAUGUUGCAAGGCGGCGACGGGCCACGGCGAGAGGCGUGCUAUGACAGCGUCGACAACCGCGGAGGUGCCGCGAGGCUGCGGUGAUGCUUCAAUUUCCGUGGCUACGCUCGGUGGUGAGCUGCGCUCCAAGGGGGGCCGCCGGUCCUACGACGACCUGCCGGUGGCUGCGCUGCUACGAGGCCGGCCUGGACUGGCACGGGACGCACGGCUGCUGCCGGGACGACAACAAACGGGGCAGCGACGCCUGGGCCUCGGCCUUUUUUUUGGUUCCUUCCUCGCUGGUACCAGGAUACCAGCUGUGUCUUAGUGUCUCUCUUCUCCUGAGCUGGGCAUGUACGCAGAUGUUGUUGUUUUCUCUUUAAUUGCUCGUAUGUGAUCUUCCUCCGAGAUGUUUUUGUCUU